rnacentral:sRNA from 1 species
GCUGAAGGGGAUACCCACCGGCUGAAGGCCGACUGUGAUUCCCCCUACCCCCACAAGGCGAUUUUGACCCCCUGAGGGCUGCUCUGGAGGACUCAGGCCCCGAAGCUGUCCCAGGGAGGUCCCCGCUGCAUCCCACCACCCAAGCUGUGCCUCAUGGAGUCGAUGUUUAGCAGCCCUGCCGAGGCGGCGCUGCAGCGAGAGGCCGGGGUGCCAGGACUGCUCACUCCUCUUCCGGACCUGGACGGAGUGUACGAGCUGGAGCGAGUCGCUGGAUUUGUCCGCGACCUGGGGUGUGAACGAGUUGCCUUGCAGUUCCCUGACCAGCUAUUGGGAGAUGCUGUGGCUGUGGCUGCACGACUGGAGGAGACGACAGGGUCAAAGAUGUUCAUUCUAGGUGACACAGCCUACGGCAGGUGUGAACUUGGCCUUAGGUGGGCCAGGCCUGGGGAUCCGGGACUCAUGGGGUUUUACGUCUAUGACAGUGAUUGCCUUCAAUGGUGGUGUUUCUCCUUGAUGAUAAUGGUAAUGACUCCCCUCCUGAUGCUAGCUCCUUUCAUUGACACUGUCUUCCUUUAAUGAAACCAUUUUAUUCACUGACCACAUUUCCCAGUGAUGACAGCAACUCGCCUCCAGAAGAGAACCCAUUUCUCUGAUGCUAUCUUCCCUGCAGCUGCUGCGUGGAUGUGCUGGGUGCUGAGCAAGCUGGAGCUCAGGCUCUCAUACAUUUUGGCCCUGCCUGCUUAAGCCCUCCAGCCCGCCCACUGCCCGUUGCCUUCGUGCUUCGUCAACGUUCUGUGGCCUUGGAGCUCUGUGUCAAGGCCUUU